rnacentral:rRNA from 1 species
ACGAACGCUGGCGGCAGGCUUAACACAUGCAAGUCGAGCGAGACCUUCGGGUCUAGCGGCGGACGGGUGAGUAACGCGUGGGAACGUGCCCUUCUCUACGGAAUAGCCCCGGGAAACUGGGAGUAAUACCGUAUACGCCCUUUGGGGGAAAGAUUUAUCGGAGAAGGAUCGGCCCGCGUUGGAUUAGGUAGUUGGUGGGGUAAUGGCCCACCAAGCCGACGAUCCAUAGCUGGUUUGAGAGGAUGAUCAGCCACACUGGGACUGAGACACGGCCCAGACUCCUACGGGAGGCAGCAGUGGGGAAUCUUAGACAAUGGGGGCAACCCUGAUCUAGCCAUGCCGCGUGAGUGAUGAAGGCCUUAGGGUUGUAAAGUCCUUUCAGCAGGGACGAGCAGAAGACGGUACCUGCAGAAGAAGCAUCGGCUAACUACGU